GCAUUAGUAGCUCAGCACAGAGCGCCGGUCU
rnacentral:tRNA from 1 species